CCUACGGGAGGCAGCAGUGGGGAAUAUUGCGCAAUGGGCGAAAGCCUGACGCAGCGACGCCGCGUGAGGGAUGAAGGUCUUCGGAUCGUAAACCUCUGUCAGCAGGGAAGAACGGUCACGGUGCUAAUCAGCAGUGAAUUGACGGUACCGGCAAAGGAAGCACCGGCGACCUCCGUGCCAGCAGCCGCGGUAAUACGGAGGGUGCGAGCGUUAAUCGGAAUUACGGGGCGUAAAGCGCUCGUAGGCGGUAUGUCAAGUCAAGGGUGAAAUCCCCGCGCUCAACGUGGGAACUGCCGUUGAAACUUGCAAACUGGAGUGUGUGAGAGGCUAGUGGAAUUCCCGGUGUCGGAGUGCCCUCCGUAGAUAUCUGGAGG
rnacentral:rRNA from 1 species